AGAGUUUGAUCCUGGCUUAGGAUGAACGCUGGCGGCGUGCUUAACACAUGCAAGUCGAACGAAGCACUUUAAACAGAUUUCUUCGGAAUGACGUUUUUAGUGACUUAGUGGCGGACGGGUGAGUAACGCGUGGGUAACCUACCCUGUACAGGGGGAUAACAGUUAGAAAUGACUGCUAAUACCGCAUAAGCGCACAGUAUCGCAUGAUACAGUGUGAAAAACUUUUGUGGUACAGGAUGGACCCGCGUCUGAUUAGCUAGUUGGUGAGGUAACGGCCCACCAAGGCAACGAUCAGUAGCCGACUUGAGAGAGUGAUCGGCCACAGUUGGGACUGAGACGACGGACCCAAACUCCUACGGGAGGCAGCAGGUGGGGAAUAUUGCGACAAUGGGGGAAACCCUGAUGCAGCGACGCCGCGUGAAGGAUGAAGUAUUUCGGUAUGUAAGCUUCUAUCAGCAAGGAAGAAUAAUGACGGUACUUGACUAAGAAGCCCCGGCUAAAUACGUGCCAGCAGCAGC
rnacentral:rRNA from 1 species